GACGCGCUCCGCAGCAUCUUCGCCGGGCACAAUGAGAUCCUCAAUGUCUGGAAGGAUAAAGUGAAGAAAAAGAAGAAAAGAUUACUAGAAGAUUAGUUUUAGGAUUUUCUUUUAUUUCCUUGCAAUUUUCCUUUUAUUGGAUACUUGUAAAGACAUUGUAAUAUUCUUACUAUAAUAAAAAUUAUGAUUCUAUUUCA